AGAUAUGUGUGUGUAUAUAUAUAUAUAGCCACUCAUCGCUAUAUAGAUAUGGCUCUGGCACACAGUCACGUACAUGCUAUUUAUACGUUUAUUCAUUUAGUUCGCCUGUUUUAAUUAUAAUUAACGCAGCUCUGUAAAUUAACCAGCGAAGAGCGAAGUGUCCGCGGGGUUCUGGUUACCCCCAUCCGAAAUAGUUGCUCCGGAUUAGCGCUGGGCAUCGGAAAUUAUUAAAACGCAUAAACCCAAGGCGAAAGCUAAGGCUUCGUAUCUCUAUCUUGAUUGCAUGGCAAUGGCUCUGAGAACAAUUGAAGUAAUGCCAAACUGAUUGUCAACUGUGGAUGAGUUUAUGCCACUCGGAUGACGUGCUGAAAGCCUCUGAGCAGGUUGUCAAUCAGGUUGUCGCACACAUCCCGAGCGGCGCCUUAAUAAUUGAUCCCGCCUGCAGCUGGACGACGACGACGGUGGAUGGAGGUGCUCUGCACAGCGAGAAAAAACCCCCAAUUUCUACCCAUUGAAAAGAUUAUAUUGCAGGAAUAUAGGAGUGGUGAUGGGUGACCCACUGUCGAGCCUUUAUGUUUUCCGUGUAUGACAUGGAGCACUGAAUGGUGGUGCUGACAGGCACCGAUGCCAGCGACUCCGGCGGGGGCAACUCCAACUGGGCCAUGACGUGCGGCGAACGCAUCGGAUUGCGGAGUGCGGAGUGCGGAGUGCCAAGUGGAGCCCAAAGGAAGCGUGUGAAAUCCCAUUUGGCUAAUGGCCAGCGGCGGCUGCAGGAAAAUCAACCUGUUCCGAGGCGCCUCCCCGCGCGGAACAGGGAAAACUCGCUUCCAAUUUCCACAGCGACUCGCCGAAUGUGGGCCAACCAACCAACCAACGGCGUGUCUUUUGUGCUGGUGGGAAAACGGGUUUUUCGUUCGGGUUCUGCAACUGUUUUUUGGCGACUCGCUGACACGCUGGCCUCCUUUUCGCCGUUCCAGCUCUGGCACUCCUAGCCUUCCACUUGCUCUGCUGUGCUGGCUCUGCUGUGCGCUGUGCUGAUUUUCCCCAUUUCCCGCAGCGGGAUCGGGAAAGCGUAAUGAGGGGGCCUUCCAGGCGAGAUUUUCCCGGGGUGGUUGGGUGGCUGGGUGGCUCAACAGGGUGUGUCGGGGUCACCUUUGUUGCCGUUUUUCGGGGGUGGUUAACCGUAAAACGAGGCGCUCAAUUGUGGGAGUUCAGUUCGUGGAGCGGAGUGAUGAUAUCAGCCCGGGGUGGAUGAUUUUCCGCAAGGAGCUGGCUGCUCCACGGCCCAACCCACCCCUGCCAAAGAAGUCGUAAUCGAGAGGGCCCCACUGCAAAUCGAUAUCGCUCAUACGCAACGUGAGCCGGACAAAGAACUUAAUUAAAAGUGAUUCACCCAAGGAGAGGAGGCCAGCGGGCGGUGCAUGCAUCACCAUCACUCUCCGUGCGGCGAAUGCCAUGCAAAUCCCUUCGCCUGACCCACAUCUCCGGCUGAUUUGAAAUUCGAAUCUGGCGCGGGUUCAUCGGCAUCCCGGCAAACUUCCCACAACAAGCCGAAACACAGCGAAAAGGGCAAACACAAAUUUAUGCUCGCAGCCCACAGCAAGCGGAGCUCAUAUUUAUGGAUGCCUUUUGGUUUGGCGCAAGCCGAGGAGCGCUCUAAAUUGGGUAUACAGAAGAUGGGGAGCCCCUGCCAUCACCAAACUGUUUUCCACUUCGAUAUGCUCGCACAAGUACAAUUCUGAAAACAAACAACUUUUUGUAUAUCGUAUAUAAAUUGUAUAGAAAAAAGGCUUUAUUUAUUCUGUGUGGUAUAACUAUUGUAUUACUCUGAAUCCAAGGUUAUAAUUACCUUUGAAUUGGGAUUGGACUUCAAUUAAACAAUUUUUUAUGU